UUUCCGUAGGUGAACCUGCGGAAGGAUCAUUAUCAAUUUACAGCGGGCUUCGGCCCUGUCUGCACCCUUGCUUUUGCGUACUAUCCGUUUCCUCGGUGGGCUUGCCCGCCGACAGGACACAAUAAAACCUUUUGUAAUUGCAAUCAGCGUCAGAAAUAACUAUAAUAGUUACAACUUUCAACAACGGAUCUCUUGGUUCUGGCAUCGAUGAAGAACGCAGC
rnacentral:misc_RNA from 1 species